CGAGUGUGUGUGUGUGUGUGUGUGGGAGUGUGUGUGGGAGUGCGUGUGGGAGUGCGUGGGAGUGGGGGUGAGGGACAGCCAGACCCACCGCGAGGCUGUGAGAAAGUGGGCGAGUGUGCGAGGGUGCCCGGCCUGGCUGCGGGAGCCGCGGUGGCGGAGGAGAAAGGAGGCGGCUCCCGGCAUCCCGACCCCCUCCCCCUCCUCUCCUUCUCGGACUUCCAGCCAGCCUGCCCGGCAGCCCGCGGUUCCCUCGGAGGCCCCAGCCCGGCUCCGCUGGCCGAGAGCGAGGGAGGAGCCGCCGGAGCCAGAAAGAAUCGUCAUUCAGGAGGAAAUAAUCCAGGAAAAGGAAGAACAAGCAGAUCAAGAUGUGUAGCUCUGUGGCGGCCAAGUUGUGGUUUUUGACUGAUCGUCGAAUCAGGGAAGACUAUCCCCAAAAAGAGAUUUUACGAGCAUUAAAGGCCAAAUGUUGUGAGGAGGAACUGGACUUCAGGGCUGUGGUGAUGGAUGAAGUAGUACUGACAAUCGAGCAAGGAAACUUGGGUCUACGGAUCAAUGGAGAACUAAUUACCGCCUACCCCCAGGUGGUGGUAGUGAGAGUACCAACCCCUUGGGUGCAGAGUGAUAGUGACAUCACUGUUUUGCGCCAUCUAGAGAAGAUGGGAUGCCGGUUGAUGAACCGACCUCAAGCCAUCCUGAACUGUGUUAAUAAGUUCUGGACAUUUCAAGAGUUGGCGGGCCAUGGUGUUCCUCUGCCAGAUACUUUCUCUUAUGGUGGUCAUGAAAAUUUUGCUAAAAUGAUCGAUGAAGCAGAAGUACUGGAGUUUCCAAUGGUAGUGAAGAAUACGCGGGGUCAUAGAGGCAAAGCUGUUUUCUUGGCUCGAGAUAAGCACCAUUUGGCUGAUCUGAGCCAUCUUAUUCGCCAUGAAGCUCCAUACCUGUUCCAGAAGUACGUUAAAGAGUCUCAUGGACGGGAUGUGCGUGUCAUUGUUGUGGGAGGCCGUGUGGUUGGCACCAUGUUACGUUGUUCAACGGAUGGAAGGAUGCAAAGUAACUGCUCACUAGGUGGUGUGGGGAUGAUGUGCUCCUUGAGUGAACAAGGGAAGCAGCUAGCUAUCCAGGUGUCUAAUAUCCUGGGGAUGGAUGUGUGUGGCAUUGACCUAUUGAUGAAAGAUGACGGCUCCUUCUGUGUCUGCGAGGCCAAUGCAAAUAAAAUAUGCUGGAACAUUAGAAAAAUCCAUCAAGAGACUUGCUUUCAUCAAGCACUUUAUCAGACUUUUGAGAAGGUAUCGAAGGCAUUGAAAGAAGUAAUUGACUUUCAAAAUCAUCUCUUCUUUUUCUCAAGAGGAAAACGAUGGAAAAACAAAAUCUCUUCAUUCAGUGAAUCCCCAGUUUGGGGUCUGGGGAGCUUAGAGACGUUGUGAAAUCCAAUCUUGUGUUACAUUUUUCUCCUGGCUCACUCUUUUUGAGAAGGUUUAUGGGCUAUAUGGCUGGUGAGACACGAUCCCCUCCUAAGAAAAUGUAGGUGCUCAGACAGGUAACCUCUGCUGCUACUGUUUUUAUUUGUUUGUUUGUUUGUUUAAUUUCAUUUAAAAUUUGUUUUUGUUGUAUUAGGAUAUCUUAAAAUGUAAUAUAUUGCAGGAUUUAUAACCAGGUUCACUGCUUUCUUUCUUUUUUUUUUUCUUAAAAAAAAAAAAACAAAACAAAGUUUCAUUUAAGAUACAUUUAGGCGCCUUUGAAGCUUGGAUUUUGGAAUGUUUCAGUAGUGGACAGAAAUCUGCUGUUGGAAUCUUCUAGUCUUCCAGGUUUAAUUUGAAAUGUUUUUAGUUUUGUUUUGGAUUUUUGUGUGGUAUUUUAUUUCCUUUAUCAGUGCCCUUUUGCCAUGCUGUUUUGGGGUGGCUGCCUAACUCUAGUGAAAAUUCUUUCUAUAUUAACGAAAGUUUGGUGUUUUAAAUUCCUUAAUGUUUUGCAUUUUUAAAAAUUGUUUUUAAAGAAAUAUUCUAACUGCUUGCACUGUUACUGUUCUUUGCCAGCCUUUUCAGGAGCCAAAAAAACAAAAACAAACAAACAAAAAAAUACCCAGAGAAAAAACUUUCCUUCUUCCCCCUUCCUGAUGAUGAGUGAGAAGUAUUGAGAACUUUCGGGGUCAGUGCCCUUCUAAACUCCCCUUCCCCCAAUAAUGCAGCUGUAUAAUGAAUGGUAAAUGCAGCGGUUUGGAUUCAGGCACAGCCCCAGCCUGCUUGCAGGUGGCGUAUGUGUUCGUGUUUUAAUGUAUUCAGAGCCAUUGGGCAAUAAGCAGUCCAGAACAUUGAAAACUCAUGCAGCAGAGAAAUAAACUGGUAGGUGGCAGCAGAAGAAGGAAUUCUUCAGAUUGAUGGCUACUGAAAGAAUCUCCAUAGGACAAGAGAUAGAGCAUAACAUAUCAAUUGAAGCAAAGGGGGCAAAUAAUGGAAACAGGACAAAAAUUUUUGGAUUUUCACUCUGAAUGGUUCUUUUGAAGUAACCAGUGAUCCUUUUUGCUUAUCACUUCAUUCACAGAAUGGACGAAGAUAGAUUUGACUGUAUGGUUUUUGAAAUGGAGGAUAGAAAUACACAGAACAAGGAAGCAGUAGCUCUAACCUGUUUGAUUCAAUGUGUUUUCUAAAAUAAAAACACCAGAACUGGG